GAAUGAUAGUAGUACAGAUUGUAUUCCAAGGAAUAAAAAUAAUUGUCACCGGAAUAUACGCACCUAACGAUAAAAAAAUCGGCUUUCUUCUCAGAAUUAGGUAAUAAGUUAUUAGAAUGGAUCGAUCAAAAAAUGAUAUUGAUGGGCGAUUUUAACGGAGUGGUGUCACCAAAUUUGGAUAGGUCAAAAAAGCAAGAGACAAAGGAAGGCAAGCUACCUCAAACGUUUUUUGAUUUGGUUGAUAAUAUGGGACUAAUUGACGCCUGGAGAUUUAAAAAAACCCCACUAUAAAACAAUAUACCUUUUCUCAAACCCAAAUCAGAGUUGGGGGAGAAUAGAUAAUAUUUGGAUCUCGAAGGAGUUGACACAGAACUUAGCUAAAUCUGAAAUACUCCCACAAACUAUAUCUGACCAUAAUCCGGUAUUUAUGGAGAUAAAGGGUAAAGAUACUAGAGUAUUUAGAUGGAGAAUGAAUGAAGGUAUAUUUAAUAAUCAAAAGAUAGUGAGGCGAAAGAAACAAUUGAAGAAUACUUCAAGUGGAAUUUACACAAAGAAACAGCUACAGAAACGGUCUGGGAUGCAGGAAAAGCCGUUAUGAGGGGCUUCCUAAUUCAGAAAAAUAGCCAUUUAAGAAAAGAAAAAGGGGGGGGGAGAAGAGAUUCUAACACAGCUUAUGGAGAAUGAAAGACAACUAGCUAUUAAACCAGGUGACAAGAGAAUAAAGCAAAAUUUAAAAAUAUUACAAGCCCAAUUUUCUAUGAUAGUUAACCAGGAAAUUGAGUGGAAAAUUAAAAUGAUGAAACAAAAGAACUUUGAAUCAGCUAAUAAAAUAGGAAAUUCUUGGCGUGGCAAAUAAGAGAAAGGAAAAAACAAAAUACGAUCUGCAAGAUAAGGGAUGGAGAAAGGAUAGUGGAAGAGCCAAAAGAAAUAAAAAGGAUAUUUCAGACGUAUUAUAAGGAAUUGUAUAAAAGAGGAAAGGAAAUAGAUUAUGAAAUAGACCGAUACCUGGAAGAUCACCAUUUACAACAGAUUGCCAUAGAAGAGAAAGAGUUAUUAGACCAGAGGAUUACAGAAGAUUAUAUAAGGAAGGCAAUAAAAAAGAUGAAAAUUGGGAAAGCGCCAAUGGAUGGCCUACCAGCCAAGUACUAUAAAACAUUAAGUGAGCAAUUAUGCCCAAUUCUAUGUGAAGUGGUGAAUAAUAUUUUAAAAGAGGGAAGGAUUCCGAAUACCUGGAAGGAAGCAUAUAUUACUUUUAUACCUAAAAAAGAUGUGGAUGCCUUAGAGGUGAAGAACCAUAAGCCCAUUUUCGUUAUUAAAUAAAGAUUAUAAACUGUUCGCGGAUAUAAUGGCAGAAAGACUAAAAAGGGUAUUAAAAAAUAGAAUUCAUAAAGAUCAAACGGGCUUCCUACCAGGAAGACAACUAAAGGAUAACGUAAGAAAUGUGAUAGAUAUUAUUGAAUACCUGGAAACUAGAAUAGAUAAACAGGCGGCCUUGAUAUUUAUCGAUGCGGAGAAGGCAUUCGAUAAUGUCUCUUGGCGCUUUCUGAUGGAAAAUUUGAAAAGGAUGGGGAUGGGAGAAUGAUUCAGAAAAGGUAUAGAGGCUAUCUAUCAUGAGCAAAAGGCAAAACUUAUAAUAAAUAAUACUACAUCAGAAUUUUUUGAUAUUUCUAAAGGGACGAGGCAAGGCUGCCCUCUGUCCCCCCUAUUAGUUAUCUUAGUAUUGGAAGUACUUACUAAGAGGCUGAGGGAUACAGCAGAGGUUAAAGGAGUCAGGGUAGGAACUAAGGAACACAAAAUUAAAGCUUUAUGGAUGACAUUGCUCUAACAUUAGAAGAUCCAAAGCACAGUGUAAAAGAAGCCCUACAAAAAAUUGAAGAGUUUGGUGCUGUGGCAGUCUUUAAGGUCAAUAAGAAUAAGACUAAAAUACUGACUGAGGAACGUGUAGCUAUGCUCCAAAGAAUUAGAGAGCUGGAGCUCUUCUUGGAAGCAACAGAGCACACCGUCUCCACCAAGGAGGAGACAGGGGACUCCCCUGAGAAGGACGCUAGUUCACCAACACAGGAGCCAGAUAUAUGGAGAAACGUGACUCAAAGAAGUAGGAGGCCCAGGGUUCGCUCUGAUUGUUUAGAAAUACACAAUCGCUUUGAGGUCCCUCCCCUAGCAUGGAAGACGAAGAGCAGACUCCAUUUGAGGAUCUCUCCCUCAUUACAGUCGAUCAGGUAUAUGAAGACGAGCAGCAAAGUCAGUCCUCAGGGAAUGUGCAGGCGACCUUGGAGCGGACAGCUCACGGAAGAACCCCGACCAAACCUAAGAGGAGGCGUGUAGUGGUGAUAGGGGAUUCCCUACUGAGGGGAACAGAAGCAGUGAUCUGUGGGCCUGACAAGAUGUCUCGGGAAGUGUGCUGUCUCCCGGGGCUAAGAUCCAAGAUGUAACUGAACAACUGCAAGGAAUCAUAAAACCCACUGACAAAUACCCCUUCCUCUUGGUUCAUGUGGGAACCAAUGACACUGCAAGCAAUAGCCUCCAGAAGAUCAAAAGAGACUACGAGGCUCUGGGCAGGAAAUUGAAGCAAUUAAAUGCACAAAUUGUGAUCUCAUCUGUCCUCCCAGUUGAACGACGUGGCCCAGGGAGAGAGGGGAAAAUAGUGGAAGUGAACAGCUGGCUUCGCAAAUGGUGUAAACAGGAACGGUUUGGAUUCUUAGAUCACGGACUGCAGUUUCUUGAAGAUGGACUUCUGGCAAGCGAUGGGCUGCACCUCACAACGGUUGGGAGAAAUGUUUUUGCCAAAAAUCUCAGAAACCUCAUCAGGAGGGCUUUAAACUGACUAAUGUGGGGGAGGGAGACAGUGCUCCUAAAGGUAGGAGUCUAUCAAUUGAUGAAGAUGAUCAUCCAAAUGUCGUAGACCAAAUGGAGCAAACAGCACGCAGACCUAGUGGUGGGAGGAAAAAUCCUUAAAUAAGAGUCACGGGGAAUGAUUAAUGGACUUCAAUGUCUGUACACUAAUGCGCAAAGCAUGGGAAAUAAACAAGAUGAGCUUGAGCUCUUGGUACAGCAAACUAAAUAUGACAUAAUAGGCAUCACUGAAACCUGGUGGGAUAAGUCCCACGAUUGGAAUGUAAUAAUGGGGGAUACAAUCUAUUUCAGAGAAACAGACCAGACAAGAAAGGAGGAGGAGUGGCGUUAUAUGUCAGGGAUGUGUAUACCUGUGAAGAGAUCCAAGAUUUAGAACCUCAAAGCCAAAGUGAGAGCAUUUGGGUCAAAAUUAAGGGAGAGAAGAAUAACAGUGACCUCAUUGUGGGAGUUUACUAUAGAUCCCCAAGCCAAACGGAGGACAUAGAUGAUGCCUUCCUGGAACAGAUGGCCAAGCAUGCAAAAGGAAGGGAGAUAGUAGUAAUGGGGGACUUCAAUUACCCGGAUAUUUGUUGGAUGUCAAACUCAGCCAAGAGCAUAAGGUCAAACAGAUUCCUCACUGGCCUUGCAGACAACUUCAUUGUCCAGAAAGUGGGAGAAGCAACAAGAGGAACAGCCAUUUUAGAUCUGGUCCUAACCAAUGUUGAUGACCUGGUUAGUGGGGUAGAAGUGGAAGGAUCAUUAGGCGCGAGUGAUCAUGCUCUUCUGAAGUUUACUAUACAGCGGAAAGGAGCAGCCAAGCAUACUAGGACUUAAUUUCUUGACUUUAAGAAAGCUGACUUCAUAAAACUUAGGGAAGUGCUGGGUGAGAUCCCAUGGACAGUAAUACUAAAAGGAAAGGGAGUUCAUGAUGGCUGGGAGUUUGUUAAGAGGGAGAUACUAAAAGCACAACGUCAGGCAAUACCAAUGAGACGGAAACAUGGAAGGUGCCUAAAGAAGCCAGGGUGGCUAUCUAAAGAACUUUUAACUGAGUUAAGAUUAAAAAGGAUGUGUACAAAAAUGGAAAAGGGGGAAACCACCAAAGAGGAAUUCAAACAAAUAGCCAGCACGUGUAGACACAAAGUCAGAAAAGCUAAAGCACAGAAUGAACUCAGGCUUGCUAGAGUGGUUAAAAGCAACAAAAAAGGCUUUUAUGUUUAUGUCUGUAGCAAAAGGAAGAACAAAGAAACAGUGGGGUCACUCAGAGGAGAAGAUGGUAAAAUGCAAACAGGGGACACAGAAAGAGCUGAACUCCUCAAUGCCUUCUUUGCCUCAGUCUUCUCCGAUAAAGAAAACAAUGCCCGACCUGAAGAAUUUGGAGCAAAUGAUUCAGCAGAGGAAACACAGCCCAGAAUAACUAAGGAGAUAGUACAAGAAUACUUGGCUAGUUUAGAUGUAUUCAAGUCUCCAGGGCCAGAUGAACUGCAUCCAAGAGUAUUAAAAGAACUGGCAGAUGUGAUCUCAGAACCACUGGCAGUCAUCUUUGAGAAUUCCUGGAGAACAGGCGAAGUCCCGGCAGACUGGAGGAGGGCAAAUGAUGUCCCUAUUUUCAAAAAGGGGAAAAGAGAGGACCCAAUUAAUUACCGCCCAGUCAGUCUGACAUCAAUACCAGGGAAGAUUCUGGAGUAGAUCAUUAAGCAAACAGUCUGUGAGCACCUAGAAAGGAAUGCUGUGAUCACCAAUAGUCAGCAUGGAUUUCUGAAAAAUAAGUCAUGUCAGACUAACCUGAUCUCGUUUUUGACAGAAUUACAAGCCUGGUAGAUGAAGGAACGCAGUGGAUGUAGCCUACCUUGAUUUCAGCAAGGCAUUUGACAAGGUGCCCCAUGAUAUUCUUGUAAAGAAGCUGGUAAAAUGCGGUCUUGACUAUGCUACCACGCAGUGGAUUUGUAACUGGCUGACUGACCAAACCCAAAGGGUGCUCAUCAAUGGUUCCUCUUCAUCCUGGAGAAGAGUGACUAGUGGGGUGCCAUAAGGUUCUGUCUUGGGCCCGGUCUUAUUCAACAUCUUUAUCAACGACUUAGAUGAUGGACUCAAGGGCAUCCUGAUCAAAUUUGCAGAUGACACCAAAUUGGGAGUGGUGGCUAACACCCCAGAGGACAGGAUCACACUUCAAAACGACCUUGACAGAUUAGAGAACUGGGCCAAAACAAACAAGAUGAAUUUUAACAGGGAGAAAUGUAAAGUAUUGCACUUGGGCAAAAAAAUGAGAGGAACAAAUACAAGAUGGGGACACCUGGCUUGAGAGCAGUACAUGUGAAAAGGAUCUAGGAGUCUUGGUUGACCACAAACUUGACAUGAGCCAACAGUGUGACGCGGCAGCUAAAAAGCCAAUGCAAUUCUGGGCUGCAUCAAUAGGAGUAUAGCAUCUAGAUCAAGGGAAGUAAUAGUGCCACUGUAUUCUGCUCUGGUCAGACCUCACCUGGAGUACUGUGUCCAGUUCUGGGCACCACAGUUCAAGAAGGACAUUGACAAACUGGAACGUGUCCAGAGGAGGGCAACCAAAAUGGUCCAAGGCCUGGAAACGAUGCCUUAUGAGGAACGGCUAAGGGAGCUGGGCAUGUUUAGCCUGGAGAAGAGGAGGUUAAGGGGUGAUAUGAUAGCCAUGUUC